CUUAACAUUAAUAAGAGUGACGGGCGAUAUGUGCAUGUCUAAUUUCUUUUUCAAUUUUCUUUUUUUUAAUUAAAAUUUUUUAUUAAGUUCUAUUUCUUUUGAUUUUAAUUUUCUAAUUAAAUUUUAAAUUUAUGUGUCCCACAAUCUCUAUCAUAUAACUUUUGUCUUGAUUUAUUUUAAUAUUACUACAUUAAUUUUUUAGAGUUAAUUUAUAUUAUUUCUUUAAAAUAAUGAUAUAAAAAGUUAAAAUGUUGUUAGUUCAUUUAAUCGUGGAUUAUCGAUUAUGUUACAGGACUCCCUAAGUAGAUUUUACACUGCCAAUCUAUUUAGAUUUAGUUUAUUUAACUACUAUCUAUUUUUAAUUUAAAA
rnacentral:rRNA from 1 species